GACAAAUUCAUGUAAAUCUAGUUUACACAUAAAUGUCAAGUAUCCUGUCUGGGCAGACUUUCUUUCUUCAGUUGCCUAAACAGUAAACAUUACGUGUCUCUCUUUCACCCUGGUGCCUCAACUGUGUAACUGUUUGUAACCUGCAAUAAAACAUACGUAGGGAGCACAGGCUACAUUCCAUCUGUGUGCCACUAUCCAUCCAACUUCCAAUAAGUGCCCUGAAUCCUAGGAGUUUACCAAGAGAGUUCACCAAGGAGGAAAACAGCAGACAGUGCUUCAAUCAACAUUCUCAUUAUCAUCCACUAGCUGUUUUGCUUGCU